GUAUCCAAAGCCCCAAAGUAAGAAAUAAGGGGAAUUUAAACAAGAGCAAUACAAAAAUAUAUACUCCGCAUCAAAUCAACCGCAUUUACAAAAAAUAAUAUACAGAUUAAGGAAUAAAUCCUUUGUAAUUAAAAGUUCAUAUUUAUGAGCUCAUCUCCUACAAUAUUUUUAAUAAUUAAGCAAGAAAUAUUUUUUUUUUAAUAUUAUCUUAGGCAUAACCUCAUCCAAAAUGCUUCUAUAAAUACCCCCUCUUUUAAUCUUCUAUGAACAAAAAACACAAAUUUACAUUUUCAACUUUAAUUUUCUCAAAAAAAAAAAAAUGGCACAAGAUAAGUGUGAGGGUGAUCCACUCUUCUGGCCUAAAUUGCUAGGAAAAAGUGGUGAAGAAGGUAAAAAAGUGGUAGAGCGUGAGAACAUACUUGUGACGGGAGUCAUUAAUAAUGUUAAAAAUCUUUAUAUCCAUGAUCAUCGUUGUGAUAGGGUUAUUAUUUGGGUGAAUGAUGCUGGAAUUAUUGUCCUUGUACCUAAAGUUGGCUGAUUAAGUUCAUUAUCUCCUUGAUUGAAAUAUUAUGUAAUGCUACCUUCAUCAAUAAAUAAAACUAUAGUAGCAAUAUUAUUA